rnacentral:rRNA from 1 species
GAUAAACGCUGGCGGCGUGCUUAACACAUGCAAGUCGAACGAAGUUUUUCCUUCGGGUGAAACUUAGUUGCGUACGGGUGAGUAAUGCGUCCUUAACCUGCCCUUUACUUGUGGACAACAGCUCUAAUCCGCUGCUAAUACCUCAUACCCACUUAUCACUGCAUAGUGCUUAGGCCGCAUGAGCAAUUCUGUACAGGAUGGUCCCGCGUCUGAUUAGCCAGUUGGCAGGGUAAAGGCCUACCAAAGCGACGAUCAGUAGCCGAUCUGAGAGGAUGUACGGCCACAUUGGGACUGAGACACGGCCCAGACUCCUACGGGAGGCAGCAGUAGGGAAUAUUGCACAAUGGAGGAAAGUCUGAUGCAGCGACGCCGCGUGAGUGAAGAAGUAUUUAGGUAUGUAAAGCUCUAUCAGCAGGGAAGAAAAUGACGGUACCGGAAUAAGAAGCACCGGCUAAAUACGUG